GCUGCUGGAGAUGCUGGUUGGGGAGGAGUUUGGCCUUCUGAGGAGGAAGUCCCAGAGCAGACUUUGGCUCAACUCUAAGGCUCUGAGAUUUUUAGGAAGCGAAGGGGCAGAAGAAGCGACUCACAAGCUCCUGGAGCCGUGUUGGGAGGGGCCCUCGGGGCCCCUGGAGUGGAGAGACACACCCAGAGGCUUUCCAGCCACCCAGGGAGGAGGCGCGGUGGCUGGGAUUUGGAGACAGCUGUGGAGGUGGGUGCAGGAGGCCGGGUUCUCUGUAUUUCCAGACUAGAGGCAGCGGCAGCUAUUGGUGUGGGGUGGGAGGGGAGAGCAGCUGGGACAUAGAAACAUUCCGAACCUAUGAUAAGCUCCCUGGAGAGCAGCUGGAAUGGCCCCACAGGCUACAGCCCGUGUCGGUGUGGGAUGCGAGGGAGAGGAGCCAGGAUGGCCCCACAUGCUUUCCUUGGCUGCCUGGGCGGGUGCAGCAGCCACCUGAGAGGGCCGUCUGAGGACACGAGGCGGCAUCAGCCUCAUGAGAUCUGGGAUGUGCACGGGACGUCCAUGAAGCCGUCGGAGAUGGAUUUGGAGUAGUUUACAAAGGUUAACAAAGUUCAGGGAGUCAGGG
rnacentral:lncRNA from 1 species